CCUGAUUAAGACCCCAGCGCUUAGUCCGGCCCCCGGCUCAGAGCCCCGCUCAGGUUGUCCGGACCGUAGACCCAGCCAGGCCAGGCUGUCUGUUUAAGUCGUGCUAAGGGGGAAGCAGGCAAGCUGCGGAGAGGACAGCGCGGUCCGGUACCAACGCCUAGGCCCGAAAGACCGGCAUCCCCAUGAGCCCGGACGGACAGGCAGGCCGAGGUCAGCCAGGCCGAAGAAUCUCGCGGCUCUGUGUCGGUCCGGGCACAGAGAUCAGUCUACCUCAUUAGAGGAUCCUGCACCCCUCCCCCUCCUCUGCUCGCCGACAAAUAUUUACUAAUUACAUGGGCUGCUGAGCACAGCACAGGCCUUUUCUUCUCCUCCACUCUCUGGCGGCUGGGCCCGAGGGUAGUCGGGCCUUUUGUGAUAGAAAUCACACCCUUCAGGUAGAACAGGGGCUUCUCAGCAGAGCUGCUAUUGUAGCAAAACCAUUGAGCCUUUAAUUUGGCUCUGCCGAUAAUAUACACGGUCUGUAUAAGUAAA